rnacentral:rRNA from 1 species
AAUCAACGCUGGCGGCGUGCCUAACACAUGCAAGUCGAACGCGAAAAGGGGCAACCCUGAGUAGAGCGGCGAACGGGUGAGUAACACGUGGGUGACCUGCCCUCAGCUCUGGGAUAAGCCUGGGAAACCGGGUCUAAUACCGGAUAUGACUCCAUGACGCAUGUUGUGGGGUGGAAAGCCUUGUGCGGCUGAGGAUGGGCCCGCGGCCUAUCAGCUUGUUGGUGGGGGAUGGCCUACCAAGGCGACGACGGGUAGCCGGCCUGAGAGGGCGACCGGCCACACUGGGACUGAGACACGGCCCAGACUCCUACGGGAGGCAGCAGUGGGGAAUCUUGCGCAAUGGGCGAAAGCCUGACGCAGCGACGCCGCGUGAGGGAUGACGGCCU